GAGGAAAGGAUAAAAUAGGGAGGUGAUUCUGGGGCUGAAGAUGAGGAAGUGGUUUGGUUUAAUUCUUCAGCUUCAGAUAGUGGUAAGGAGGUAUUUGCAAUAUUGAAUUUUGGUAGAGGUUGUUGUGUUCUGGUUGUGGAAGGAGGGGUUUCAGAUGUGGUGUAGAUGGGUGUUGGUAGAGGAGUAGAAGAAGCCAGUGGCUGUACAGAGGGAAC
rnacentral:lncRNA from 1 species